rnacentral:rRNA from 1 species
AGGGAAUCUUCGGCAAUGGACGGAAGUCUGACCGAGCAACGCCGCGUGAGUGAAGAAGGUUUUCGGAUCGUAAAGCUCUGUUGUAAGAGAAGAACGAGUGUGAGAGUGGAAAGUUCACACUGUGACGGUAUCUUACCAGAAAGGGACGGCUAACUACGUGCCAGCAGCCGCGGUAAUACGUAGGUCCCGAGCGUUGUCCGGAUUUAUUGGGCGUAAAGCGAGCGCAGGCGGUUAGAUAAGUCUGAAGUUAAAGGCUGUGGCUUAACCAUAGUACGCUUUGGAAACUGUUUAGCUUGAGUGCAAGAGGGGAGAGUGGAAUUCCAUGUGUAGCGGUGAAAUGCGUAGAUAUAUGGAGGAACACCGGUGGCGAAAGCGGCUCUCUGGCUUGUAACUGACGCUGAGGCUCGAAAGCGUGGGGAGCAAACAGGAUUAGAUACCCUGGUAGUCCACGCCGUAAACGAUGAGUGCUAGGUGUUAGACCCUUUCCGGGGUUUAGUGCCGCAGCUAACGCAUUAAGCACUCCGCCUGGGGAGUACGACCGCAAGGUUG